UAAAACUUAGUCGACCACAAUAGUUUCAACUCAUCCUUGAGUUGAAGGACCUCUAUGGUAUAAAUUCAAGCUUGAGAGGAUUCACAGGCUACACCAUAAUUAACAUGCCGUAUUGGCAUAGGAUUUUAUGGCUUCGGGAUUAGCAACGCAUCGAAAUCAUGGUUUUUUUAUUCUAGACCAAAAUGCGGGGCGUUACAAUGCUAGAAAGGUGAGGACUGGCGUAAGAUUUAUGGUCCAUCUAAAAGUAUCGGUGGUGACUCAUCUAAAGAUGAAGUUCAUGUUACUGGGAUAUAUAUAUAAGUUCAUGCUACUGGGAACAACAUUUACUCUUUAGAUAACCUUCUAGUUAUUUUUCAAAAUUUCUCCUUGCUUGUCUAUUAGCUCGAUUCACUUUGUUCAUCCAUUAACAUUGCAGAAGUUGUUCAUUCAAUUUGUGGAACACUUUGAAGAGCAUGAAUUUUCAGAAAAAUGAAAUCUCAAAUGCAGUACUUUUUUCAUUAAGUAACUUUGUUCUUUGAUCUUUGACGUUUAACAAGGCUUCUGAUCAGUAAUACUGAUGAUUGAUGAAUGUUACCUUUUGUUAAAUCUUUAGAAUUAACAGCAUAACCAAGAAAGAGUCAUCUCUUAUAAACUCUUCUAGUCUUAGCGGAUGUGUAUAAGCUUUUCAAAAUAUGUCAGUGUCUUAACGCGUAUAUUGCAAUCAAAUGUCUAGAUAACAUAACAGAAAGUUUGGAUUUCUUCUUUGUUUGCCUGUUAGUUUGAUUUCAAUGUUGAUUUGUUGUCAUUGUAGGAGUUGUUCAAUCUUAUCUUCGUUGUGUUAAAUCCAUCAAUUCUUGGAAUCGCAGGGAAGAGUGAUGUCUACUUUGUCUUCCUUGAGAUGAAGCAUGAUUUGCUGCACAUGGAAUAUACAGCCCUAAUGGAACACAAAGGAUUUUGACAAGGCUCAGCAAUUAUUUGGGAAGUAGAAAGUUUCGAAGGUGUCUCUGCUCAAGUUGUAGAAGCUUUAGCUGAUAUUUUAUUCUCAUGUUGGAUUGAACAUCAGGGACUAUGGAUGUGAUAGCUUGUAUUGUUGUCUUUUGGUUUCCGAGUAGGCUUGCGCGACUUUAAAAUGUGUCGUAAGGGUCAAAGGCUCGCUUUCAAAUAUAUUAACAAUCAACGUCUCUCACGUGUUUUGUCGAUGUGACAUUUGUCCAGGAAGUGACAAUGACUUUCUUGUUGCUCUGAAUAUUUCUAUGCCAACGAAAAUCAAAAGAUGACGUGAUUAUUAUUGGAGUUCGGAGCCAAAAAGGCUAAUUUUUUGACCAAAAACUUCAAAGGAGACACUUGAUUUGGAAAGAAACCAAAGGGGACAAAUCGUUGUUGGUGAGCGAUUUGCAAGUCGCCUGGUGUCCAGCAAUUUGUAAGUCGCCUGGUGUCAAAAUCACCGGACACCAAGCAACUUAAAGAGGUACAUACAGAUCUAAUGGGAAGUCUGUUGAAGCUUUCAAUGGUAUUUAAUCUUGUGUUGGUUUGAAUGGGAAAGACAAUGAAGUGUAUCCUGUUCGGAAUGAAUUCCAGGAGCUGUUCAAUCUUGUCUUUGUUGUCUUAAAGUCUGUCAAUUCUUGGAAUAACAAGGAAGAACAUGAAUGCUUACAAACUACGCAAAUAAAAAAUGCAGAUGAAGAUUUCCAAACACGCAGCUUCUUUUUCAGCACACAUCUGUCUACUUUGCCUUCCUUGAGAUGACGCAUGCCUUGUUGCACAUGGAACAUACAGCUCUAAUGGAACCCAACAUUCCAUGAGAAUAAAAGUUGUUUGAUGUAACACAUAAAAGAACAUGUUGUACAUUAUGGUUUAUAAAUAUAUUGUUAUGGGGCCAUAUAUUUUGGUCAAAUCCUUGAAGAUCUCUUGCAAGAUUUUUACUUGGAGCCAAAGUUUGAUUUUGUGGCUGGAAAGUUUAAUAUGAAAUCAUCCAUGACAUCAAAUACUUGGAGACCAAGAACUUCCUUGCUAUUUCUUAGUCUGUAUUUUGUAGUUUUAGCAAAUAAACAUAUUGCUGCUAACUGUUGUCAAUAAAACAAUGGUGUAUUGUUGUCAGUUCAUCAAUUGGGAUAGAGUUGUACAUGGACAUAAUAGGCACCUUGAACAUAGAAAAAAAUGUUCAAGGGUUUUCGAGGGUUUAGGCUUGUGGUUGUUUGUCGUUGUACUAGCCAUAUUAUUGUAGUUCUUUCUUUUGAUAUCUAUCGUCAUUUGUUGUU